rnacentral:tRNA from 1 species
GGCCUGAUGGUCUAGUAGUAUGAUUCCUUGUUAGGGAUUAAUUCCAUAUCGAGGAGGUCCCGGGUUCAAUUCCCGGUCAGGCCC